rnacentral:rRNA from 1 species
GACGAACGUUGGCGGCGUGCUUAAUACAUGCAAGUCAACUGAAGCAGUGGUAGCAAUAUCGCUGUGGAGGUGGCGCACGGGUGAGUAACACGUAGGUAAUCUGACUUCAGGUCUGGCAUAACUCCGGGAAACCGGGGCUAAUAGCAGAUGAUGCAGCGGCUCGACAUCGAGACAGCAGUUAAAGCAAUGGCGCCUGAAGAUGAGCCUGCGUCUGAUUAGCUAGUUGGCGGGGUAACGGCCCAACAAGGCAACGAUCAGUAGCUGGUCUGAGAGGAUGCACAGCCACAGUGGCACUGAGACACGGUCCAGACUCCGACGGGAGGCAGCAGUAAGGAAUAUUGCUCAAUGGGAGAAAUCCUGAAGCAGCAACGCCGCGUGAGGGACGAAGGGCUUUUGCUUGUAAACCUCUGUAGUGAGAGAAAAAAAUCCCAAUCUUUGGGACAUGAUGGUAUCUCAAAAGUAAGCCCCGGCUAACUACGUG